GAUGAACGCUGGCGGCGUGCCUAAUACAUGCAAGUCGAACGGGGAGUCGCAAUGCUCUUUGUGGCGAACGUGUGAGUAACGGGUUGGUACCCGCCUCGAAGCGGUGGAUAACGGACCGAAAGGACUGCUAAUACCCCAUGUUCAUGGCAACGAGUAUAGGGGAACACCACUUUGGGUGGGGCCUGCGGCCCUUCAUGUGGCUGGUAGGGGAAUGGCCUACGAAGGCGAUGACGGGUAGGGGACCUGUGAGGGUGGCCCCCCACAAUGGAACUGAGACACGGUACAGAAUCCUACGGGUGGCGGCAGUGGGGGAUAUUGGAAAGGGGCGCAAGUCAGGACCGGCAACGGCGCGUGUGAGAUGGCGGCCUUGGGGUAGUAAAGGUCUUUUGACUGGGGCGAGGAAGGACGGUACCGGUCGAAUCAGCCUCGGCUAACUACGUG
rnacentral:rRNA from 1 species